AUCCACGGCCAUAGGACACAGAAAACAUCGCAUCCCGUCCGAUCUGCGCAAUCAAGCUGUGUACCGCCCAGUCAGUACCGGAGUGGGGGACCAUCCGGGAAUCCUGCCAGGUGCUGUGGUU
rnacentral:rRNA from 16 species